UACGAGAGGCCCAAACGUUAUUCGGAAUUACUGGGCUUAAAGAGUUCGUAGGCGGCCUGACAAGUAGGGUGUGAAAGCCCUCGGCUCAACCGAGGAAUUGCGCUCUAAACUGUCGUGCUUGAGGAACCUAGAGGUGAGCAGAACAGAUGGUGGAGCGGUGAAAUGCGUAGAGAUCCGGAAGAACACCGGUGGCGAAGGCGGCCUGCUGGGCAGUUGCUGACACUGAGGCGCGACAGCGUGGGGAGCAAACAGG
rnacentral:rRNA from 1 species